ACCCCGCUGGCGCAAUGGCAAGCACCUCCGUUCACGCUCUCACCACCGCACAUUUACUGAUAAUGUGCAGGUAGCGCGCCAGACUUCUACAAAUGAGAUCUGGAGGUUGCGGGUUCGAGUCCCUCGUGGGGUG